rnacentral:rRNA from 1 species
AAAACAACUCCCGACAAUGGAUAUCUAGGCCCCCUGAUCGAUGAAGAACGCUGUGAAAUGUGAUACUUAUUGUGAAUUGCAGAACCUCGUGAAUCAUUAAGUUUUUGAACGUGAGUUAUACCUGAUUCCCUUUAUGGGUUGGGUAUAUUUGGUUGGGUGU